GUCUCUGGAUUGGUCGAUUGGGCUAUUUGAGUUCUGGAACUGGUGGAGGCGUUUGGCGAGGCGGUUGAUGUAACCGACCAGACGACGUUUCAAAACGUUUCGUCUUGGGCGGUUGACGGCGGUUGCUGGCGACGGUUCGAAAACAUCUUUUCAAGCCAGUACAAAGGUAGGGUAAGAGCUAAAUUGUCAUUUUCGAAAUGAGGGGCAUGAUAGACUUUUCAAGUGACAAAUCCAUACAAUCUCGUGUAUAACAACAUACAAGUUUUAAUACCCAAAUCAACUAAUACAUAAGGUCUUGUUACGUACAAAAAUAAUAAUAAUAAUAAUAAUAAUAAUAAUAAUGGUAGCAGUGUCUUGAACGAAUAUCAUCAACAUAUACUAAGGAAACAGUGAUCAAGUCAUUUACAGUCCUAACAAACAAAGAGUAAUCAUGAAGGGAUUGAAUAAAACCAAACUCUAGCAUAGCUGUCUUUAGCUUCUCAUUCCAUUGUCGAGGAGCUUGUUUCAAUCCAUAGAGGGAUUUCUUCAAAAGACAGACUUUUUUCUUAAACAGAUCUGCAUACCCUUCAGGAGCUAUCAUGUAGACUGUCUCAUUAAGAUCUCCAUGCAGAAACAUUAUUAACAUGUAAUUGGAAGACUUUCCAACCUCGACUAAGGGCUAGAGAUACAACACAAUGGACUGUAACCAUCUUAACAACCGGUGAAAAAGUUCCAUGAAAGUAAUAUUUAAGGAUUUAGAUUUUUUAUUUUCAAGCAUCUUCAAUCAACUUCAACAAAGCAAAGUCAGAUUUGGGGAUCACCACUUUAAAUUUUCAGCAUUUUAAUUUUCCAAUCAAUUUCCUUUUAUGUACCGUACAGUGUUUAGAGAUUCCUAAUCUCAGACGCUAAAAAAUCAAAUUUAAGGUGUUACGUACAAAAAUAAUAAUAAUAAUAAAAAUAAUGGUAGCAGGGUCUUGAACGAAGGUAGGACCCGAAGUCGGGCAGAAAAGUAGAAAAAUUUGCGCUCAGGUCGGGAGGUCCUCAAGACGGAAAGUGGUCAGGUCGGGAAGUCCUCAGGUCGGGAGGUCCUCAAGACAGAAAGUGGUCAGGACGGGAAGUCCUUAGGUCGGGAAGUCCUCAGGUAGGGAGGUCCUCAAGACGGAAAGUGGUCAGGUCGGGAAGUCCUCAGGUCGGGAUUUCCUCAAGACGGAAAGUGGUCAGGACGGGAAGUCCUUAGGUCGGGAAGUCCUCAAGACGGAAAGUGGUCAGGACGGGAAGCCCUUAGGUCGGGAAGUCCUCAAGACGGAAAGUGGUCAGGUCCGGAAGUCCUCAGGUCGGGACGGCCUCAGGUCGGGAGUUCCUCAAGACGGGAAGUGGUCAGGACGGGAAGUCCUUAGGUCGGGACGGUCUCAGGUCGGGAGUUCCUCAAGACGGGAAGUGGUCAGG